AACGUAGGAGGCAAGCGUUUAUCCGGAGUUACUGGGCGUAAAGCGCAUGUAGGCGGUUGGGCAAGUUGAGUGUGAAAGCUCCCGGCUAAACUGGGAGAGGACAUUUAAGACUGCCCGGCUAGAGGUCGGUAGAGGGGCGCAGAAUUCGGGGUGUAGCGGUGAAAUGCGCAGAUAUCAGGAGGAACACCUAUUGCGAAGGCAGCUCGCUGGGACGUAACUGACGCUGAGACGCGAAAGCGUGGGGAGCAAACAGG
rnacentral:rRNA from 1 species